ACACGGGGGGCGCAAGCGUUGUUCGGAAUUAUUGGGCGUAAAGGGCGCGUAGGCGGUCUUGUCGGUCAGAUGUGAAAGCCCAGGGCUCAACCCUGGACGUGCAUUUGAAACAGCAAGACUUGAGUACGUGAGAGGAAAGCGGAAUUCCUGGUGUAGAGGUGAAAUUCGUAGAUAUCAGGAGGAACACCGAUGGCGAAGGCAGCUUUCUGGACCGAUACUGACGCUGAGGCGCGAAGGCGCGGGUAGCGAACAGAAUUAGAUACCCGAGUAGUCC
rnacentral:rRNA from 1 species